AAGCAAGAAACUCCAAAGUAUUAUGGUUUCGGCCCAUAAGUAGGUAUACCUUACAUACCCUCGCUUU
rnacentral:tRNA from 1 species